UCAAGGUGCGAUUAUCAGCAGUCAGGUGCCUGCACUCCCUGUCCCGCUCGGUGCAGCAGCUCCGGACGAGCUUCCAUGACCAUGCGGUGUGGAAGCCUCUGAUGAAGCUCCUGCAGAACGCCCCAGAUGAGGUGCUAGUCAUGGCGUCUUCCACACUAUGCAACCUGCUGCUAGAGUUUUCCCCCAGCAAGGAGGUGAGAGGGGAGGCACAGCGCAGCUGAAAGCUUUAGGCAGAAGUCAAGUCGGAGGAGUUUUAUAGUCUGGGUGCAGCUAUGGUCACUCUGUUAUUGCUUUGAGUGGGUGUUUAUGAGUGACCAUUACCAACUGUAUUGGAAUCCCAGGAAAUAUGGCACAGUGCUGUACAUAACAUUUUCAGGAACAGGCAGUUACUUCU